AUUGAACGCUGGCGGCAGGCCUAACACAUGCAAGUCGAGCGAGCGGCGGACGGGUGAGUAAUGGAUGGGGAUCUGCCCGAUAGAGGGGGAUAACUACUGGAACCGGUGGCUAAUCCCGCAUACUAUCGGAUGAACCCAUAUGGGAUGAGCUGGUAGGUGGGGUAAAGGCGCACCUAGGCGACGAUCUCUAGCUGGUGUGAGAGGAUGAUCAUGCACACUGGGACUAAGACACGGCCCAGACUCCUACGGGAGGCAGCAGUGGGGAAUAUUGCACAAGGGGCGCAAGCCUGCUGCAGCUAUGCCGCGUGUAUGAAGAAGGCCUUCGGGUUGUAAAGUACUUUCAGCGGGGAGGCGUUACCCGCAGAAGAAGCACCGGCUAACUCCGUGCCAGCAGCCGCGGUAAUUC
rnacentral:rRNA from 1 species